rnacentral:rRNA from 1 species
CGUCUAUAUACGUAUAGCAUAUCAAUAAGCGGAGGAAAAGAAACUAACAAGGAUUCCCUUAGUAACGGCGAGUGAAGCGGGAAGAGCUCAAAUUUGAAAUCUUCAAGGCUCUACCUUGACGAAUUGUAGUUUAAAGAAGUGUUUUCUGUUAGAGGAGUAGCAAAAGUUCCUUGGAAUGGGACAUCAUAGAGGGUGAGAAUCCCGUAUUUGGUUAUUCUUUCUAGCUUUGUGAUACACUUUCAAAGAGUCGAAUUGUUUGGGAAUGCAGUCCAAAAUGGGUGGUAAAUUUCAUCUAAAGCUAAAUAUUGGCGAGAGACCGAUAGCGAACAAGUACCGUGAGGGAAAGAUGAAAAGAACUUUGAAAAGAGAGUUAAACAGUACGUGAAAUUGUCAAAAGGGAAGCGUUUGACACCAGUGUUGUUUUUCCGAAAAUCAAUUAAGAGUGGCUUGAUUUUGUGUUGUAUUGACCUUAUCAGCUUUCUUCACUCUUUUACGAGUCUUUCUUAAUGCACUUUUCGGUUAACAAGUCAGCAUCAAUUUCUUUUGUUGUAAAAGGGUAUUUGGAAGGUGGCUUUCUUUUCGGAGAAAGUGUUUAUAGCCUUAUACCUCUACAAUCGGAGAGAUUGAGGUCUGCAGCGUAGAUCCUUCGGGGCUAGAUACACUUGUGCUAAGUUAUAGCUUUUCAUAGACAACUUGUUGACUAUGUUUAGUCAUGUAGCUUACCCGCUUGUGCUAUUUUACCUACGCUUAGGAUGUUGAGUCAUCACACAUCUCU